AAAAUAAUUUUAAGUCUAAUCUGCUCAAUGAAUAAUUUUAAAUAGCUGCAGUAUAAAUAACUGUACAAAGGUAGCAUAAUAAUUUGUUUUUUAAUUGAAAACUAGAAUGAAUGAUUAAAUGAAAUAUAAACUAUAUCAAAUUUAAAAAAUAAAUUUAUUAUUUAAAUAAAAAAAUUUAAAUAAUUUUUAAAGACGAGAAGACCCUAAAGAAUUUUAAUAAUAAAUUAUAAUAUAAAUUUAUAAUUUAUUAUAUUAAUUGGGGAAAUUUUAAAAUUUAAAAAAUUUUUAAUUAAAUAAACAUAUAUUUUUGAAUAUUUAAAAUUUUUUAAAAAAUUAAAUUAAAUUACCUUAGGGAUAACAGCAUAAUUUUUUUAAAAAGUUCAAAUUUAUAAAAAAGUUUAUGACCUCGAUGUUGAAUUAAGAUUAAAUUUAAUAGAAAAAUAUUAAAAAUUUAAGUCUGUUCGACUUUUAAAAUCUUACAUGAU
rnacentral:rRNA from 1 species